UUUCACCAAAAUACCUCAAAUGCAGAAGUAAAUACAUCUAGAGGAGUUAGAGUUUCAAAUCACAAUGUGGAAAGAGGGAAGAGGAGGAAGAAUCGUUCUAUGUCAGAUUUAAACUUCCAACUGUCUCUCUUCUCCAUACUCCUCUAAAAACAACCUACGCUUGACUGAACAUCUCUGGAAUUCCUUUUUCAUAAGGCAUUAGUGGACACAUCACAGUUCAUGGGAGACAGUAAGCUGAAUUUGGAGAGCCAGAAAUCUAAGUUGGCUGCUUCUGUGGUAUUCCUACAUCUUCCCUCUGAUGACUGUAAAGAGAACAUGGUGCUUUGGAUUCCUGAUGUUCAGCUACUUAUAAGGAUCGUCCAGAGAUGAUACGUCUAGACUGUUUCUGUCUUACAUGGGUUCAGACAGUGAUCUUUGGUCAUCACUUGCUUUGUGUGGAGGAGUGUGACAAAAAGAUAUUCAAGAUGUAUCAACUAACUUCUGAGUUUCCAUCAACAUUCAUUGAAGCAGCUUCAGAGACUGAUAUACCUCAGAGAGAAAAAUAUAUUAAGUAUUCUCUCAAAACAAUGACAUUUAUGUUUCAGCAGAGCAUUAGGGACUCAGUUUAGGGACCAAGCCCAUUCCUACUGAAGUCAGUGAGAUAGCCCUAUUAAUUUCCUUGCAGAAAUACCAGGCUCUAACACUGAACAGAGCUGAAUCAAAGACGUUACCUUUCAUAGUAACACACAAGGAAGAUGUGGAAUGAAUGUUCUGUUCCUUAUGCUCAGAUUUGCCUAAUUUUUAUAUAUAAGUCUAUAUAAGUCUUCUCUAAGUUUAAGGGUAUUUUUAAUUCUCUCUGUCUCUCUCUCUCUUUUUUUUUUUUAACCAUACACAGUUAUCCAACUUGUCUGAUUCUGAUUUCAGAUUGAUUAAAAAGACAAAACUAGAAUCUGUCUGAAAGAGCAGUUAUACAGUUGUAGUAAGUGAAUAUAAAAGAGAUGAUAUGUAAGUACUAAAAGUUAUUCUGUCUCACAGGGUUAUCCAUAAUGCUGUAUUGCCAAUUAUUUCAAAGGCUGUUGAUAUAGAUAGGUAUCAAAUACUGCUUUAGCCCGUUUUAUAUAGGGUACCAAAUAGCCUUCAUAAAAUGAGUUAAGAUAGUGACACAUACAGGCUGAAUUUGAAUCUCAAGCUUCUGGACAAAAACAAACAAACAAAAAAUGCACAAACCUCAACCUCCCUCUUCUGCUCUGUUUCAUCUGUUUUGUCUCUUAUAUUAUUGCUAGACGUUAUCCUUUAUAAACAUGUCUGAGGCUACCAGGCAAUAACAUUAUUUUUUUUUUGACAACACCUUGUCAAAUACUUUUUAUUGAGAGUCUUGUCAGGUUAACAUCACUUCUACAAGCCUAUGGUGUUGAUAUAAGAAGUCUCUUCAAGUCUCAAUUUUCAUAUGCUGUGCUCAGAAUCACUAAUUCUUAUGACUCAGAGAAAGAGCUACAGAUGCAUAUGACCACUAAAUAGUUCCACUAGCUCUAAGACCAUAAUAUUUCAAAGGGAGAACCUGAAAAAACGCUGGAUAUGGUGGAACAGUACUCAAUUGGUUUAAUAUCUUCAGAUAUUUUUAAGGCACUUGGAGAAGUAAAAUACAAUGAAGAGGAUUUUCUUUCCUUACAGUUGUCAUAAUUUGUGAUUUUUUAAGUGAAGGAACAAAAAGACAUAUAUGCUUGAUACAGAAGAAAUAUCUGUUUGCAGCUAAUAUAUUAUAGAAAAAUUCAAAGACAGCUUAACCUUGUAAAAAUGUUACCUCUGUAAUGUUGCCAAGAUCAGUGUGAAUUAUUACUUUGACUUGCACACGAUUUUUUUUUUUUUCAGAAUUUGUCUAACUGAUGCAUUCAUUAAUUGGCAAUUUUCAUAUGCUGGUGAUUUCAUAAAUUGAUGAUUCAUUUCCCUGUUCAUUCAAACUCCCACCUUUUAAAAAGCUCAUGCAUCUUUCUGCCCUCAGAUUCAUAAUAUUCAGCUCAGGCAUUGCCUGGUGAAUAUUCCAGAUUCAAUGCAUUCUGAAGUAGAAUUUAUUGGAAAACAAUAGCAAUUCUUUUCUGUUCAAUAUAUAUUAUCAAGAAUAGGGCUAUAGUCAUGGCCCUUUGCUAAGAUUGUCACACUCUUGCAUGGUACAGGAGGAAAGUAUUUGCAGAAACAGACAUUGGCUCCCCAUAUAUUAGUCGUUCCUCUGCAAGAGUGGAUGUUAAAUUUCUAGAAUAAUUAAUUAUGAUAAAAGCUUUUCUUUUCAUACCUUAGAUUUUCAUACCUUAGUAAGAGAUUUUCAUACCUUAGUAAGAGGUUGUUUAAGUCAUGAGUAUGUUUAAUCUUCUACCUGAUACUCUUUUAUUAGUGUGAUCUACUGAUUCUAGAUAUCCUGGUUACCUUGACUGACCAUUGUUCCAUGUGAAUAUUUGGCACCAUGUGGCAGUAGCUUUCUACAAAAUGUUUUGCCAUACAUAACAUUUUCUACCUGCAUAUUUUCUGCAUUUGGAAAAUGUUUUUCAACUGGGCAAAAGUACCACUAUUGCAGAAAGAGAAAAGCUUCUCAGCUGUACAGUCAGAUGCAUAAGACAUCACUCCCAUUUUUUCAAAAGCUUCUCUCCUAGUUACUAGAAAAGCAAAGAUAUAGAAGUGUGUUAACCAAUAACAGUUAUUCAGCCUAAACUCUAUGGAUAACUUACUAUGGGCACUGAGAUAAGAUAUUCUAUUUGCAUACAUACAGUAUAUGGAGAACUGCUCUUCUGUUUUAUGGAGCAGCAAUCAUAUUUAGUUUAAUGUCUUAUAAGUCCCAUAAAAUUGCAUUAAGAAAUUUUGCUAUUUAGCUGGUGAACAAUCCAAGCAGCAGUGUUAACUCAUCAUAACACUACUGCUUUGAAUUCUCAAGCCUCAUAAAAUUUAGGUUAUAAAUAUGCCAGUUCAGCCAAAUGAGAUCAGAGAUCCUGCAUGGAUCCUUUAGUAGGAUGGCAUGCAAAAAUCAACUGUGUUCCCAAAGCUUUUAAGAAUUUAUACCAUUUGUACAAGGGAGCUUUAAUCUCAGAAAAAUCACAGUUUUGGUCUUUGGCUUCUAAAUAUAGCCAGUCAUAUAGAAAAAUAUUCAUGUACCUAAACACAUUGCUUUUUGUAACAAUCCAACUUAGUGGAUAUUGGACAUCAUCACAGGGCUGUGGAAGUGACAGGAGACCUUCAAGAGUCCUGUACUUUUAUGAAAUGGCAGAUAGAUACCAGGAAGCAUCCUCAGGUCAUCUAAUCUGAUAUUAGAUGAUUUCUGCAGUGGAGGAGCUGAAACACAAGGGAAUGAUAAACAUUAAGUUGGAAUAGAAGAUUAAUCUAUUUAUAUAUAUAUAUAUAUAUGUAUAUAUGUAUAUAUAUAUAUAUGUAUAUAGUGGGGAUGAUUGACAUUUGAUGUUCCCUUUAAUUUUUGCUUGAAGAUAUAAGGCUAAUCUGACAUAAAUCUGAAUAGCAGCUGAUGAUGCUAAUCAUGAGCUCUGCCAACCUGAAAUAAUAGCAACUUCAGUUUAGGAUUCUUUUAUAUAUUCAUUGUUCAUCUCUAUUUUGAUUUGUGUCCUUCUUUUGAUGCAUUAGCAACUUCCAGGUGGUAGCAGGAGGGGUUACAAAUGUUAGAUAACAAGAACACAGAUUUUGCUCCUGGCUAGACUGAUAACCCAUAUAUUUUGCAAUGAGAAACAAGCUUGCUAAGCCUGAAUGCACCGGUUUUUCUGUUCUGUACCAAAAUUCCGGCUGGGCUGUACUUUCUAGUCAAACUCCUCCCAUCCUCUUUAUGUUGGAUGUUAAUUUCAUAUGGGUCUGCUCUGUUUCUUCUGCAGUUUCACACAACAUGAGUAGAGAUGCUAUCCAAGAAACCAUCCACCCAUGGUGAAAAUUUGCCAGAAGCUGAUACUAACCUUCUGGUAAAUCUGUGAUCUGCUGCAAGUACAACUUCUCACUUGGGGACACAUACUUAGCUCACCCAUAACAUCUCCUUUAUGUUUAAUGGACAAGAAAGAAAAGCAGGAAAGUCAGCUGGGUAUGCUAUGUAUCACUUUGUGGUCUAUAGACUGAAUUCUUUAACGAUAUUCUCAUUAAAAGUUCCUGCUGCCAAAUACUGUUUGCUUUUGCCUUUGGAACUGUCUGCAUUAAUAAUGAGAGACUCUUCUUGGAAGUUAUUUACAUAAAGUUUAAUUUUCAUGUUAGUGCCACAGAUAGCAGCUCCAUGUUGGCUGUGAGCAGAGCGAACACCAUUUGAAUGAAUUCACUGCAAUGUGAAUUGUGAGGGGCCAUAGACUAUCUUACCUCUCACCAUAAAAAAAUAUAUAU